rnacentral:rRNA from 1 species
AUUGAACGCUGGCGGCAAGCCUAACACAUGCAAGUCGAACGGAGUGGCGGACGGGUGAGUAAUGUCUGUGAAACUGCCUGCUUUAUGGGGAUAACUACUGGAAACGGUAGCUAAUACCGCAUACUAUCAGAUGAGCCUAGGUCGGAUUAGCUAGUUGGUGGGGUAAAGGGCUACCAAGGCGACGAUCCGUAGCUGGUCUGAGAGGAUGAUCAGGCACACGGGAACUGAGACACGGGCCAGACGCCUACGGGAGGCAGCAGUGGGGAAUAUUGGACAAUGGGCGAAAGCCUGAUCCAGCCAUGCCGCGUGUGUGAAGAAGGUCUUCGGGUUGUAAAGCACUUUAAGGUGGGAGGCGUUACCAGCAGAAGAAGCACCGGCUAACUCCGUGCCAGCCGCCGCGGUAAUUC